rnacentral:tRNA from 1 species
GGACGCUUAGCUCAGCUAGGCAGAGCAGCUGACUCUUAAUCAGCGGGUCGCAGGUUCGAUUCCUGCAGCGUCCA